rnacentral:lncRNA from 1 species
CGGAAGUAGUGCGCUCUACUGAGUCACCGUUCGUUGUGUCAGCUGAUUCUUUCACAAUUGUGUGUCUCGUGAGCUGUCACUGAGUUGAGAGACGCGUCGCGGUGAGGAGAGCUAUAGCCGAGACUAAAUCACAGCACUUCUGCUGAGAAAAUGGGUGAGGAGGGGCCGCCCAGCCUGGAGUACAUUCAGGCCCGGGACCUGUUCCCCCAGAAAGAG